rnacentral:rRNA from 1 species
AUAAAAACGCAUCUAAUACAACUUUCAACAAUGGAUCUCUCGGUUCUCGCAUCGAUGAAGAACGCAGCGAAAUGCGAUAAGUAAUGUGAAUUGCAGAAUUCAGUGAAUCAUCGAAUCUUUGAACGCACCUUGCGCCCUUUGGUAUUCCGAAGGGCACG